AGAAACGCAACGCGACGGACACACAAUUCAGUUCGGCAACGGAUCACGUGAGCCCAUUUAAAGUGAAUGGCAUGCGUCUCCAGCAACGCGAUGCACGCAGCUGUGUGUGGGAGCCGUAACUUGCCCGACGCGCUGUUCAAUAACUUCCAGUAGCGAUAAAGUUAAGUUCCUUUAUUGUAGAAAACAGUCAUCUCCACACAGUAAAAAAUGGAGUGUCAUUAUUGCAGAGUAAACCUAUUUUCCUCUGGAUAGAGUAGUUAUAACAAUGUACAGAGUAAAAUCGUCUAAAUAGUAGUGUCAAAAGUGAGAGUUAAGUCCAACAUGCACACAAUGACCAAAUCUACUCUACAUGGUGAUUCCCCGCGGAAAAUCCUAGAACUGAACUGGAGCUCAAGCUGGCAGUGGCACGUUGGAAAUCGUCUCUUUCCCCACUAGCAGACCUAUCGUGAAAAUGCUGCUGCGUGUCUCGUUUGGCGGAGUGCAGAUGUACAUCAAGCUGCCUGAACAUUUGGUGAUUUCUUGAGAGAAGUGAGUCUAAAAUUUAACAUUGCUGAAGACAGAUGGUUGGACAUCAAGGUUUAUGACCAGUCUAACACAGAGGUUGACUCUGAGGUUUUUGAGGAGAUGUACAAGAGUUCCAUGGACCUUUCCUAAUUUCAUUGGCCAAUGAAGCACCUGGUAACCCUCAGUCCACGUCAUCUCCAUGCUCUAUUGCAUCUGAAGACACAGUGAUCCUCAACUUCUCGUUGUGUGACCCAGCUGAGGAGCCAGUUGCAGCCGAAGGAAGUCAACCUAAAAGGCCUUGCCGCAUUAACUAUGAAGCAAAAGCUCUGAUUGAAAAAAUCUUGACGACAAAGCCUGGAGGUGACCGUGUCAUGGAGGAGUAUGCGAAAACAAAAUCAAUUACAGAUUCAACCAGAAGACAGCUCAUCAACAUACUUACUGCAGAGAUGACGGAAACACAUGGGACAUCUCUGCCCCGGAGUGUAAAAGUGAUGUAUGCACAGGGGAUUUUCGCUCUGUUUCCAUACCUUGAAGACCCAUAUUCACAGAAUGGCUAUGAACAUUACUACGAUCCUGAAAGUGGUUCAGGCUACAUUGCAUGGCGGAAAGGGAAAGAGGUCCUGCAGUUAGUAAGUCUCCUAAAGUUGGUGGGCCAGGCCAUGGGCGUACUAGACCCUUUACUGCCGACAGAGUCCUGACUGACGAGGAAGUGGAAUGUGCUAUCGCUUUGUUGAGACACACUGCUGAUGAGGAGACCAUCCCUGAAAAGAUGAAAGUCACUUUCGUAUACCGCCACACCAUGGUCAAUGAUGAGAACAAAUCAGCAGAGGUCUUCUCAGUAUUUCCACGGUUCCUAGACACACCAGGACUGAUAGAACAAGAUUUUAGAGUGAUGUUUGGUGAGCAGACUGCCAACAAGUUCCUGGAGAGGUGGCCUACCACUUUCAAAGCAGGAGUCAUUAAGGAAAGCCAUGGACUGGUCCCCUCCACAGACCUUCUUGAUUUAAUGCGCAAUGCUGAGACAUCUACUGAAGUUGAAAAAGAUGGGAACAAGCGUGCAGCAGCAUCUUGACAACAUCGCUCAAAGCAGUCAGCCCUACCUCCUUGCUCAGGGACCCACAAAAAGCAGCAUUCACUCUUUCUUCAUUGCCAUCGACAAGCAUGCACUUCCAUGCCAAGCCACCAGCUCGGUUGGAACCCUGGAUGAGCUCUUCAAGGCCCACUAUGUGUUUGGUACAUCUUACAGUCCUGUCUUGAACAACUUUUUCACUUUUCUGCAAACUUCCAUUUACAACAUUGACAUGGGGAAAACUAAGGAAACACCAAGAAUUGCAGAGUUGCAAGCAAGAAUGGUGCGUUAGGCACUCUUGAAAUUAAACAAUGAGGUGCUUUCUUUGCAGCAAUGUCUUUGGUGAAGCAAACAAUCUAGUAAAGCACCUCAAAGUAAUACAUGGACUCUGUACAGGAAGGACUCUUUAUCUUCAAUGUGGCCAAGUGGGAUGCUCACGUUUUUUUCAAUAGUUUUUCUGGUCUUAGGAAGCAUCUGAAUAAGUCAUCAUGUGAAUAGUGCAUGUGAUUGUUGAAACUGAACCACCACAUUGUCAAACUGUUCUUGAUAGUACUAAUGCAAAUCCCGCAGAAGAGACAUAUGAGGCUGAGGUUGAGUCAGAGCCAGCAUUAUCGUCAGAACACCUUGUAAAUAGUUGUGCCUCUGUCAUUUCAGAUCUAAAGGCAGCAGGUGUAGCCCAGUCUUGUUAAUUCUUUUGUGACCUCCAUGGAGAAUAUUGUGCAGGAAAUUCAUGAGCAUGCAAAAGAGUCAGUCAUCCAGGGUGUAUUUCGUGAUCAAAGAGACACUGAAACAUGCAAGAAUGUGGAGGGAUGUUUUAACCAAUUAGAGAAUCCAUUCACAGCUCUAAAUUCAGAUUACAAACAAUCAAAAUG